CCUACGGGAGGCAGCAGUGGGGAAUAUUGGACAAUGGGCGAAAGCCUGAUCCAGCCAUGCCGCAUGAGUGAAGAAGGCCUUUGGGUUGUAAAGCUCUUUUAGUGAGGAAGAUAAUGACGGUACUCACAGAAGAAGUCCUGGCUAACUCCGUGCCAGCAGCCGCGGUAAUACGGAGAGGGCUAGCGUUAUUCGGAAUUAUUGGGCGUAAAGGGCGCGUAGGCUGGUUAGUAAGUUAAAAGUGAAAUCCCGAGGCUUACCUUGGAACUGCUUUUAAAACUGCUAACCUAGAGAUUGAAAGAGGAUAGAGGAAUUCCUAGUGUAGAGGUGAAAUUCGUAAAUAUUAGGAGGAACACCAGUGGCGAAGGCGUCUAUCUGGCUCAAAUCUGACGCUGANGCGCGAA
rnacentral:rRNA from 1 species